rnacentral:rRNA from 1 species
UACGGAGGGUGCAAGCGUUAUCCGGAUUCACUGGGUUUAAAGGGUGCGUAGGUGGGUCUGUAAGUCCGUGGUGAAAUCUCCAAGCUUAACUUGGAAACUGCCGUGGAUACUAUAGAUCUUGAAUAUUGUGGAGGUAAGCGGAAUAUGUCAUGUAGCGGUGAAAUGCUUAGAUAUGACAUAGAACACCGAUAGCGAAGGCAGCUUGCUACACAAUCAUUGACACUGAGGCACGAAAGCGUGGGGAGUCAAACAGGA